rnacentral:sRNA from 2 species
UUGCGGGUCGUGCCAAGCGGACGCGAUGGCACCGAAGAAUAUGGAGAUUUUUCCGCUUUCUCUCCAUAGCCAACGAAAUGGCAGGCGAGCUUCUCACCCAUCCGAUCG